UAAAAAUGACUGCCAUUGGGGUUCAGUCACGCGAGAAAAAAAUGUGAAUUAAAAAUUUCGUAAAUCGUGGUUCUACAAAGUAAAUAAACUUUUUAGUGAUUUAAUAUAAUUGUUUAGUGCACGGGCAAAGUUUUAGUACAAUUGUUAAGGUCUUAAAAGUUAAGUUUUGUAGGUAAAAUGUGGUUUUUUAAUAGCUUAUAAUUUGGUGUUGAUAAAAAAACUCGCUUUUUUUACGACGGCCGCCGACCAGUAAAGAUUUCAGAAUGAAUAAUCCAAUUGCACCAGAUCUUGACCCUCUAAGCUCCUAUAAUUUGAACAACUAUCCGAAUUUGGAAAGCUUCGGAAAUCCGCUGCUACCUUUCGGAAAUCAGUAUCCAUAUUCCGUUAAACUAGAGAAUUACCAGAAUCCAAAUUAUUACAAUCUACCGCAAGGAAUACCACCUAACUUUACACAAGAUACUUCAGAAAAUACUAGUGUAAAUGCAACUUUGGAAGAAACCGGUAAUGAAACACAAACAGUCACGGAUCAAGAUCAAAAUAACGAAUACCCAAAUAACAUAGAUGUCGCAGAAGAACAGGAUAUUAAACCAGAUAUUAGUAAAUUGCUAAAUAAUAGAAAAAUUAAAAAGGAGCGUAGCAAAUACUUCUCAGAAAAGAUCACGGAAAAGGAUUUUAAAUUUUAUGGAUGUUCCGUAUGCAAUAUCAAUUUCAAGGAACUGCACGAGUUAGACAACCAUGUGACAAUACAUAAGGAUAGGCUCACCAGCUAUGAUUGGAGAGUGAAGAGUCAGAUAAUGAAGAAGAAGAUGAAGAAAGAGUUGAAGAAGAAUAAGAAGUUGAAGAAGAAAGUCAAAGCAGAACCUGAAAUGGAGUUUAAUAUAGAAAUUAAACCAGAGGAGGGAUAUAUAGGUAACGAAAUAGCAUCAGACUUUGUUAACAAUACAGAAUCAGACAACCAGAGUUUUAAGGAAAACAACACGGAGGAAACUGACAACAAAGAGACAAAAACAAUGGAAUCCAGCAAUGCAAACUACAAGCAAGAAUUGGACAAAGAGGUAAAUGCAAUGGAAUCCAACACUACAAACAACAAGAAAAAAUUGGACAAAGAAACUAAAACAAUGGAAACUAACAAUGCAAAUAACAAGCAAGAAUUUAACCAAGAGACAAAUACAGUGGACUCCAACACUACACACAACAAUCAAGAAUUUAACCAAGAGACAAAUGCAAUGGAAUCCAACACUACAAACAACAAGCAAGAAUUGAACCAAGAGAUAAAUGCAAUGGAAUUCAAUACUACAAAUGACAAGCAAGAAUUGAACCAAGAGAUAAAUCCAAUGGAAUCCAACACUUCAAACAACAAGCAAGAAUUGAACCAAGAGAUUAAAACAAUGGAAUCUAUCAAUGCGAACAAUAAACAAGAAUUGAAUCAAGAGACAAAUACAAUGGAACCUAUCAAUGCGAACAAUAAACUAGAAUUGAAUCAAGAGACAAAUACAAUGGAACCUAUCAAUGCAAACAAUAAACAAGAAUUGAACCAAGAGAUAAAUGCAAUGGAAUCCAACACUACAAACAAUAAGCAAGAAAUUAAUCAAGAGAUAAAAGUAAUGGAACCUAGCAAUGCAAACAAUAAACAAGAAUUGAACCAAGAAAUAAAGGCAAUGGAAAUCUACAAGCGUAAUAUGUACAAAGAUACAAAAAUAAUGGAACCUAUCAAUGCGGCCAACAAGCAGGAAUUGUUGAACUUGCAAAAGAUAUAUAAAUGUUUUGCCUGUCAGAAACAGUUCACACUGAGUUACUAUUUGAAACUACAUGUCAGAUCUCAUACAGAUGAAAAACCUUAUACAUGCGUCCAGUGCGGCCAAUCCUUCAUCACAGCAAGUAAACUGGGACGACACAAUAAAAGAUUCCAUCUCGCCAUCCGCUACCAGUGCAGGAUAUGCUAUAGAUUCUUUUCUAGAUUUGAAUUCUUAACUCGACAUUUCGACAAAAAACACCCAGAUGACAAGUUAGAAGGAGAACCCUAUGAUUUCAAUGCUAUACUACCUUACCUAAAAGAGUUAGAGGAACAACUCCGCGAGAAAACAGAAAUGGAGAAAGCCGCAAAAAAACCAGAUCCCUGGUCCUUUGAAGUUGAAACCAAAACUGAACUCAAUGAAGUGAAGGAGGAGUCCCAAGACGACACAACAGAUGGACGGAUAACGGUUACCAUAGAGCAAGUCAAAGUUGACAUGGACGGAGUGGAGGUGAAGAUUGAAGAGUUGGAUGUGAAAGGGGAUAUUCAUGGUGAUGAUGAUGAUAAUCGGGAUGAUAUUGAUGAGGAUGGAUUUGGUGAUGUGAAAGAUGAAAGUACUCAUAUGAAGGAUGAGAAUCUCUCAGAUGAUGAUUAUUUCCCUUCAAACACCUGGGCAUCAAAACCAGCCAUGGAAGACCCUCCAUCUCCAAAGAGACUCAAAUUGGAGGACCGAGUGAAAUGCCCAAUCUGCGAGAAGAAAUUCAGCUCAGCCUCCUACAUGAGGAUCCACAUGCGGACCCAUACUGGAGAAAAGCCGUUCAAAUGCUACAUAUGCAACAUGGGCUUCAUCACCUCCAGUAAAAUGCAUCGUCAUGUGUUGACUCAUCCUGAAUCCUGGGCAGAUGAUGACGUCAAGGAGGAAAAAGAUAGUAAAGAAGGAAUAAACAUCAAAACUGAAGAAGGAGAGAAUACGGAAGAAGACAAGAAAGCUAUAAAAAAGUUAAGAAUGAAAAAAUAUCUAGCCAGACUCAACAAGAAAUCUAAACCUUCGGACAAGAAGAAGCGGCUCAAUCAGAAGAGACCAUUCGCUUGCGAAUUUUGCCAGAAAAGAUUCCUACAUGUCGAGACUUUGCAGGUCCACAAGAAGUGCCACGAGGGUGAGAGCCUGGUGUUCAAGUGCAACUUUUGCCUCGCGGAGCACCCCGACGAUGUCACUCGGAAGGCGCACGAGGCCUCGCACCAGGGCCCCAAGCCCUACCUUUGCACCAUAUGCGGACGCGGAUACAAGAAACGGGAAACCAUGAUAUACCACCGCAAGAACCACAAGCCGGACCGCGAGUUCAUAUGUGACAUCUGCACCAAGAGUUUCAAUGCGCAGUGCAAGCUGCAGAGACAUAUAGUCAGCCAUCGCACGCAACGGUUCGUGCUGCGCUACGAGUGCCCGGUGUGCGCGCACAUGUUCCACACCAAGUACCACGUGCAGAUGCACCUCGCCACGCACCAGAAGGAGGGCCUAAUUCAAGAGGAAAACCGCAGCGAAAUCCUAGCGAUGGUUCUGCAGAACGCUCGGAAGAUACCCAAAAGCGCAGACGCGCCCCCCACCCUCACCGACAUCGUGCCCAGCGACGAGCGCAGCCGCGUGUGCAACAUAUGCGGGGAGGUGUUCCAACACUUCUACUAUCUGGAAGAACACCUAAAGAGUCACGGUUCGAAAAUAGCCAUAGAAGACAGCGAGAAAAGCGAGGAGAAGAAACAUGUAUGCCCCAUUUGCAACAAAGGAUUCAAGCUACACUACUACUUAAAACUUCACAGUUUCACACACACUAAAGAAAAACCUUUCAUUUGCCAGCAGUGUGGAAAGGGCUUUAUAACUCGGGGCAAACUAAAACGUCACAUAGAAACCCAUACGGGCUUGAAAAAGUACCAAUGUCAUGUUUGCUAUAAGUUUUUCACCAGACCUAGUUACUUAAGGAUCCAUGUUAGAACUAUUCACGGCACUCAAGACUAUAAUUUUAGGAUGGAAAAGUCUUAUAGCAACUUCGGCGCCGACUACACGCCUUAAAUUGUUUAUUUCUAAACUUUUAACACUGAUGUUAAGUUUUCGGAAAAUCGUUUUUACGUGUUAAACUCUGAGAAAUCAAGAUUUAGAUAAUUACAGUUCAUAGAUAAUGAAAAAUCCUUCUGCCAACAAUGUGAAAGGGUUUAAUAUAUAAAAGUAAAAAGACAGAGAUGCAAACAGGUCUUAAAAAAUUACAAUGUCAAGUUUUUACAAGACCUAGUUAUUUAAGACUAGAGGAUGCCCGCGACUUCGUCCGCCUGGAUUUCAUUUUUUAAAGAUCCCAUGGAAACUAUUUGAUUUUCCAGGAUAAAAAGUUGCCUAUGUCAAUUGCAGGGACGCAAGCUACCUUGGUUCCAAAUUUCACUCAAAUCGGUUAAACUGUUGGGCAUUGAAAAGGUAGCAGACAGACAGACGGACAGACACACUUUCGCAUUUAUAAUAUUAGUAUGGAUUCGUGUUAGAACAAUUCAGUAUUCAGGACACGCAGAACUAUAACUUUAGGAUGGAAAAGGUUUGCAUUAACUUUGGCUAUACGGCGUAAUUGUUUAUUUAUGAACAUUUAACAUCAAUGUUAAAUUGGCAGAAAAUCGUUUUUCAUGUAAAUGAUUACGAUUACGUGUUAAGUAUACGGCAGUGAUUUGAAUUUCUAAUAAAUUAACACUGAUUUCUUGAUACUUUACAACAAGAAUGAAUUAUUGAUGUUGGUUUCAAUAGUGUUAUAAUUUUUAACUUCUUGUAAAUAUGAAAGCUAAAAUUUAACAGUUUGAAAUUUUAGUUUUGAAGAUGUGUUGGUUACAGAAUUCUCAACAUUUAACAUUGAUGUUAAUUUUUUUAAAUUGUUAUACAUUUAUGUACUUUUAAAAUAAUAUGUUAAAAGGAAUUAUUGAAAAAAAGGAAUUAUUGAAUGAAUGAAAUUAAAAAUUGUCAUUUGUUUGAUUAGCAAUGAUUGCAUACAAAAGAAUGUCAAAUCAUUUUAAGUUUUAAAAAGUACGGAAAGUAAAAAGUAAAAUAAAGUAUUUCAGGUGCCUCAAAAAUGAUAUUUUUGAAAAAACGAGAGCGAUUUAACAAAUGUAAUUACUGAUUUAAAGUUAAAGAAAAGUUACCUCAUUUUAAAAAAGAUUUUUUCAAAAGAUUUUCUAUUCACCUUUUUAUUUUCUAAGUCGAUGAAAAAAAAUGUGAUUUUUUGUAUACUUGAAUAAUUUUUUUUU